GCUUGCUUCAGCAGCACAUAUGAAAAUUAGAAUGAUACAGAGAAGAUUAGCACAGACCCGUGUAAGAAUGGCACAGCAGUUCAUGAAGUGUCCCAUGUUUUG
ensembl:snRNA U6 U6 spliceosomal RNA